rnacentral:rRNA from 1 species
AAUCCUACGGAGGCAGCAGUCGGGAAUAUUGCACAAUGGAGGGAACUCUGAUGCAGUGACGCCGCGUGCAGGAAGAAGGUUUUCGGAUUGUAAAGUUCUUUAAUUGGGGACGAAAAAAAUGACGGUACCCAAGGAAUAAGCCCCGGCUAACUACGUGCCAGCAGCCGCGGUAAUACGUAGGGGGCAAGCGUUGUUCGGAAUGACUGGGCGUAAAGGGUGUGUAGGCGGUGUAGCAAGUUAGAAGUGAAAUACCUAGAGCUUAACUCAGGUGCUGCUUCUAAAACUGCUAUACUUGAGUGCAGUAG